GAUGAACGCUGGCGGCGUGCCUAAUACAUGCAAGUCGAGCGAACGGACGAGAAGCUUGCUUUUCUGAUGUUAGCGGCGGACGGGUGAGUAACACGUGGAUAACCUACCUAUAAGACUGGGAUAACUUCGGGAAACCGGAGCUAAUACCGGAUAAUAUUUUGAACCGCAUGGUUCAAAAGUGAAAGACGGUCUUGCUGUCACUUAUAGAUGGAUCCGCGCUGCAUUAGCUAGUUGGUAAGGUAACGGCUUACCAAGGCAACGAUGCAUAGCCGACCUGAGAGGGUGAUCGCCCACACUGGAACUGAGACACGGUCCAGACUCCUACGGGAGGCAGCAGUAGGGAAUCUUCCGCAAUGGGCGAAAGCCUGACGGAGCAACGCCGCGUGAGUGAUGAAGGUCUUCGGAUCGUAAAACUCUGUUAUUAGGGAAGAACAUAUGUGUAAGUAACUGUGCACAUCUUGACGGUACCUAAUCAGAAAGCCACGGCUAACUACGUG
rnacentral:rRNA from 1 species